ACAGAGAAGGGGCAGGAUGAGGCAAAGCUCUAGGGCAGGAUGGAGGGCCACAGGAGCCCACUCCCUGGACAUCAUGCAUCAACUGAGGGGUGCCUGCCACCACAGAUGGACUCAAGCUGGAAGGACCCAGAGAUGACCUUUGCUCUGCCCUGUCAGCUGACCCUCCACGGGCUCUCCUGUAAAUGGUUACCAAGUGCCUGGCACAGCAUCCUGCUUCCUUGGAUGUGGCUAGGAAGCUGGUGCUCCUGCAGCUAUACCAGACCAUGAGACAACUACAGAGAUGGAAGUCAUGUGCCCAGGAUGGCUGGGCAGAAAUAUUGGAGAGAGCUUGGACCCUGAUGAUUAUGGAACUGCUACAGUAGUUCCAUAACUGCUACAGCCCUGGACUACUGACCUCUGGAAUUCUUCUGUAGGCAAGAAUAAUAAACCACUAUCACAAUUAA